rnacentral:rRNA from 1 species
AAUGGGGGAAACCCUGACCGAGCAACGCCGCGUGAGUGAUGAAGGUCUUCGGAUUGUAAAGCUCUGUUGUCAGGGACGAACGGUAUUCCUAGGAAAUGAGGAGUAUUUGACAGUACCUGGCCAGAAAGCCACGGCUAACUACGUGCCAGCAGCCGCGGUAAUACGUAGGUGGCAAGCGUUAUCCGGAAUUAUUGGGCGUAAAGAGUGAGCAGGCGGCAGUUUAAGUCUGAAGUGAAAGCGUGAAGCUCAACUUCAUACAGCUUCAGAAACUGAACAGCUAGAGUACGGGAGAAGUAAGUGGAACUCCAUGUGUAGCGGUGAAAUGCGUAGAUAUAUGGAAGAACACCAGUGGCGAAGGCGACUUACUAGCCCGAGACUGACGCUCAGUCACGAAAGCGUGGGUAGCAAA